GGGCUAUUAGCUCAGUUGGUUAGAGCGCACCCCUGAUAAGGGUGAGGUCUCUGGUUCGAGUCCAGGAUGGCCCACUUGUGGGGGUUUAGCUCAGUUGGUAGAGCGCCUGCUUUGCAAGCAGGAUGUCAGCGGUUCGAGUCCGCUAACCUCCACCKUGAAAGAUAGAGUCAGUUCAGCAUUUGAAUUCAGCACAUUGUGAAUUACUUGAUAGUUCGAGUGAGUUUAUAAUCUGCUGGGUGAAAGCCUAGCGAAGAACCUUGAAAACUGAAUAGAAGAGAAGUGUAAGGUAGUACACACAGAACAUUCAAAGUUCGUUGAGAGAAGAGUGAACUUGAUUAGUUUUUACUAAU
rnacentral:tRNA from 1 species